GGGCGCGUCGGGCCGGCCGUACGGGUGCUGCUCGUAACCCGUGGGCUGGUGCUGCUGCUGCGGUGCCGGGCGGUUCCAGCUCGCCUGCGACCA
rnacentral:tRNA from 1 species